AUUGAACGCUGGCGGCAGGCCUAACACAUGCAAGUCGAGAGAGCGGCGGACGGGUGAGUAAUGGCUGGGAAACUGCAUGAUGGAGGGGGAUAACUACUGGAAACGGUAGCUACUACCGCAUACCAUCAGAUGUGCCCAGAUGGGAUUAGCUAGUAGGUGGGGUAACGGCGCACCUAGGCGAAGAUCCCUAGCUGGUCUGAGAGGAUGACCAGCCAUCCGUGAACUGAGCCACGGUCCAUACUCCUACGGGAGGCAGCAGUGGGUAAUAUUGCACAAUUGGCGCAAGCCUGAUGCAGCCAGGCCGCGUGUGUGAAGAAGGCCUUCGGGUUGUAAAGCACUUUCAGCGGGGAGGCGUUACCCGCAGAAGAAGCACCGGCUAACUCCGUGCCAGCAGCCGCGGUAAUUC
rnacentral:rRNA from 1 species